GAACGCUGGCGGCAGGCCUAACACAUGCAAGUCGAGCGGAUGAGAAGAGCUUGCUCUUCGAUUCAGCGGCGGACGGGUGAGUAAUGCCUAGGAAUCUGCCUAUUAGUGGGGGACAACGUUUCGAAAGGAACGCUAAUACCGCAUACGUCCUACGGGAGAAAGCAGGGGACCUUCGGGCCUUGCGCUAUCAGAUGAGCCUAGGUCGGAUUAGCUAGUAGGUGAGGUAAUGGCUCACCUAGGCGACGAUCCGUAACUGGUCUGAGAGGAUGAUCAGUCACACUGGAACUGAGACACGGUCCAGACUCCUACGGGAGGCAGCAGUGGGGAAUAUUGGACAAUGGGCGAAAAGCCUGAUCCAGCCAUGCCGCGUGUGUGAAGAAGGUCUUCGGAUUGUAAAGCACUUUAAGUUGGGAGGAAGGGCAGUAAGUUAAUACCUUGCUGUUUUGACGUUACCAACAGAAUAAGCACCGGCUAACUUCGUG
rnacentral:rRNA from 1 species